GAUGAACGCUGGCGGCGUGCUUAACACAUGCAAGUCGAACGAUGAAGCCCAGCUUGCUGGGUGGAUUAGUUGCGAACGGGUGAGUAACACAUGAGUAACCUGCCCUUCACUCUGGGUUAAGCCUGUUCAACUGGGUCUAAUACCUGAUAGGAGCGUUCACCGCCUGGUGGGUGUUGGAAAGAUUUAGCGGUUUUGGAUAGACUCGCGGUCUAUCAGCUCUUUGGUGAGGAAAUGGCACACCAAGGGCACGACAGGUAGCCGGCCUGAGAGGGUCACCGGCGACAAUGGGACUGAGACACGGCGCAGACUCCUACGGGAGGCAGCAGGGGAGAAUAUUGCACAAUGGGGGAAAGCCUGAUGCAGCGACGCCGCGUGAGGGAUGACGGCCUUCGGGUUGUAAACCUCUUUGAGUAGGGAAGAAGCGAAAGUGACGGUACCUGCAGAAGAAGCACCGGCUAACUACGUG
rnacentral:rRNA from 1 species